UCCAUACCCUGAAAACAACCCAUGAUCAGUGUCCUCUCCACAGUCACUGAAAACACUGGCUCUAACCAUGGCAUGGACCUGGGACAUUCUCUUCCUCCUGUCAGUCACUGCAGGUGUCCAAUCGCAGGUCCAGCUGCAGCAGUCUGGGGCUGAGCUGGUGAGCCCUGGGGCUUCAGUGAAGCUGUCCUGCAAGGCUUCUGGCUACACCUUCACAAGCAACUGGAUGGGCUGGGUAAAGCAGAGGCCUGGACAGGGCCUUGAAUGGAUUGGAGAGAUUUAUCCUGGAAAUGGCAAAACUAACUACAAUGAGAAGUUCAAGGGCAAGGCCACACUGACUGCUGACACAUCCUCCAGCACAGCCUACAUGCAACUCAACAGCCUGACAUCUGAUGACUCUGCGGUCUAUUACUGUGCAAGACACAGUGUUAUAACCACAUCCUGAGUGUGUCAGAAACCCUGGGGGAUCAGGAAGCUGCCCGAAGAAUGAGAUGACUGAAAUGUUAACCUUUAAACUUGCUCAGAAAUUGUAA